AUUGAACGCUGGCGGCAGGCCUAACACAUGCAAGUCGAGCGGAUGAAGGGAGCUUGCUCCUGGAUUCAGCGGCGGACGGGUGAGUAAUGCCUAGGAAUCUGCCGGGAGGGGGGGGAUAAGGUCGGGAAAGGGGCGCUAAAACGGAUUACGUCCGGGGGGAGAAGGUGGGGGAUCUUCGAACCUAACGCUAUAGGAUAAGCCUAGGUCGGAUUAGCUAGUUGGUGGGGUAAAGGCCUACCAAGGCGACGAUCCGUAACUGGUCUGAGAGGAUGAUCAGUCACACUGGAACUGAGACACGGUCCAGACUCCUACGGGAGGCAGCAGUGGGGAAUAUUGGACGAUGGGCGAAAGCCUGAUCCAGCCAUGCCGCGUGUGUGAAGAAGGUCUUCGGAUUGUAAAGCACUUUAAGUUGGGAGGAAGGGCAGUAAGUUAAUACCUUGCUGUUUUGACGUUACCAACAGAAUAAGCACCGGCUAACUUCGUG
rnacentral:rRNA from 1 species